GACAGAGGAGGCGAGCGUUAUCCGGAGUUAUUGGGUGUAAAGGGUACGUAGGCGGCUGGUCAAGUCUGGGGUUAAAGACCACAGCUUAACUGUGGGGGGGCCUUGGAACCUGACCGGCUGGAGUGGGGCAGGGGUUGCGGGAAUUCCCGGUGUAGAGGUGAAAUGCGUAGAUAUCGGGAAGAACACCUGAGGCGAAAGCGCGCAACUGGGCCCUAACUGACGCUGAGGUACGAAAGCUAGGGGAGCGAAUGGG
rnacentral:rRNA from 1 species